GGUAGAUGAAGAGGUCUGGAAAGGCCCGCCAUAGGAGGUAACAGCCCUGUAGUCAAAACUUCGUUCUCUCCUGAGUGGAUCCUGAGUACGGCGGAACACGUGAAAUUCCGUCGGAAUCCGGGAGGACCAUCUCCCAAGGCUAAAUACUCCCUAGUGACCGAUAGUGAACCAGUACCGUGAGGGAAAGGGGAAAAGCACCCCGGAAGGGGAGUGAAAGAGAUCCUGAAACCGUGUGCCUACAAGUAGUCAGAGCCCGUUAACGGGUGAUGGCGUGCCUUUUGUAGAAUGAACCGGCGAGUUACGAUCCCGUGCAAGGUUAAGCAGAAGAUGCGGAGCCGCAGCGAAAGCGAGUCUGAAUAGGGCGAAUUGAGUACGUGGUCG
rnacentral:rRNA from 1 species